rnacentral:rRNA from 1 species
UACGUAGGGUGCGAGCGUUGUCCGGAAUUAUUGGGCGUAAAGAGCUCGUAGGCGGUCUGUCGCGUCGGUCGUGAAAACUUGGGGCUUAACCCUGAGCUUGCGGUCGAUACGGGCAUGACUGGAGUUCGGUAGGGGAGACUGGAAUUCCUGGUGUAGCGGUGAAAUGCGCAGAUAUCAGGAGGAACACCGGUGGCGAAGGCGGCUCUCUGGGACGGUACUGACGCUGAGACGCGAAAGCGUGGGGAGCGAACAGG